rnacentral:rRNA from 1 species
CUUUCCUACGGGGGGCAGCAGUGAGGAAUAUUGGUCAAUGGCCGAGAGGCUGAACCAGCCAAGUCGCGUGAGGGAAGACGGCCCUACGGGUUGUAAACCUCUUUUGUCGGGGAGCAAAGCGAGUCACGUGUGACGCAUUGAGAGUACCCGAAGAAAAAGCAUCGGCUAACUCCGUGCCAGCAGCCGCGGUAAUACGGAGGAUGCGAGCGUUAUCCGGAGUUAUUGGGUUUAAAGAGUGCGCAGGCGGAGGUGCAAGUCAUCGGUCAAAUUGCGGGGCUUAACCCCGUACUGCCGUGG